GACAGAGGAGCCAAGCGUUGUUCGGAAUCAUUGGGCUUAAAGGGCGUGUAGGCGGCGGCGCAAGUGUCGAGUGAAAUCCCAUCGCUCAACGAUGGAACGGCUCGGCAAACUGCGUCGCUUGAGGUCGGUAGAGGUGCUUGGAACUCUAGGUGGAGCGGUGAAAUGCGUAGAUAUCUAGAGGAACGCCAGAGGCGAAAGCGGAGCACUGGGCCGAAUCUGACGCUGAGACGCGAAAGCGUGGGGAGCAAACAGG
rnacentral:rRNA from 1 species